UUAGAGUUUGAUCCUGGCUCAGGACGAACGCUGGCGGCGUGCCUAAUACAUGCAAGUCGAACGCGUCCCGGUUGAUGAAGUUGAGUGCUUGCACUUGAUUGAUUCAACUUGGUGACGAGUGGCGAACUGGUGAGUAACACGUGGGUAACCUGCCCCGAAGCGGGGGAUAACAUUUGGAAACAGGUGCUAAUACCGCAUAACAACCAAAACCUCCUGGUUUUGGUUUAAAAGACGGCUUCGGCUGUCACUUUGGGAUGGACCCGCGGCGUAUUAGCUAGUUGGUGAGGUAACGGCUCACCAAGGCGAUGAUACGUAGCCGACCUGAGAGGGUAAUCGGCCACAUUGGGACUGAGACACGGCCCAAACUCCUACGGGAGGCAGCAGUAGGGAAUCUUCCACAAUGGACGCAAGUCUGAUGGAGCAACGCCGCGUGAGUGAUGAAGGGUUUCGGCUCGUAAAACUCUGUUGUUGGAGAAGAACGGGUGUCAGAGUAACUGUUGACAUCGUGACGGUAUCCAACCAGAAAGCCACGGCUAACUACGUGCCAGCAGCCGCGGUAAUACGUAGGUGGCAAGCGUUGUCCGGAUUUAUUGGGCGUAAAGCGAGCGCAGGCGGUUUUUUAGGUCUGAUGUGAAAGCCUUCGGCUUAACCGGAGAAGUGCAUCGGAAACCGGGAGACUUGAGUGCGGAAGAGGACAGUGGAACUCCAUGUGUAGCGGUGAAAUGCGUAGAUAUAUGGAAGAACACCAGUGGCGAAGGCGGCUGUCUGGUCUGCAACUGACGCUGAGGCUCGAAAGCAUGGGUAGCGAACAGGAUUAGAUACCCUGGUAGUCCAUGCCGUAAACGAUGAGUGCUAAGUGUUGGAGGGUUUCCGCCCUUCAGUGCUGCAGCUAACGCAUUAAGCACUCCGCCUGGGGAGUACGACCGCAAGGUUGAAACUCAAAGGAAUUGACGGGGGCCCGCAC
rnacentral:rRNA from 1 species